rfam:Triticum aestivum genome assembly, contig: Triticum_aestivum_CS42_TGACv1_scaffold_147645_2BS
AUGCUACUCCCUCCGUCUGAAAAUACUUGUCAUCAAAUGAAUAAAUGAGAAUGUAUCUGGAUAUAUUUUAGUUCUAGAUACAUUUUUUUAUUCAUUUUGAUGACAAGUAUUUUCGAACGAAGAGAGUACUAG